UGCAAGUCGAGCGGCUGCACAGAGGACCUUGCUCCUUGGGUGGCGAGUGGGAGACGGGUGUGGAAUAUGUCUGAAUCUACUUUUUCAUGGGGGAUAACCUAGGGAAACUUACCCUAAUACCGCAAACAACCUACAGGUGAAAGCUCGGGACCUUCGGGCCUUGUCCGAUUGCAUGAGCCGAUGUCCGAUUAUCUAGUUGGCGGGGUAAAGGCCCACCAGCGCAACAAUCCGUAGCUGGUCUGAGAAGAUGAUCAGCCGCACUGCAACUGAGACACUGUCCCAACUCCUACAGGAGGCAGCGAUGGGGAAUAUUGGACAAUGGGCCCAAGCCUGAUCCUCCCAUACCGCGUGGGUGAAUAAGGCCUUCAGGUUGUAAAGCCCUUUUGUUGGGAAAUAAAUCCAGCUGGCUUACACCCGGUUGGGAUGACCGUCCCCAAAGAAUAAACCCCGGCUAACUUCGUGCCCUCCGCCCCGGUAAUACGAGUGGUGCAUACGUUACUCGCAUUUACUGGACGUAUAGCGUGCAUAGGUGGUCCUUGAAGUCUCUUGUGUCAGACCUGAGCUCCCCCUGCGAACUGCAGUGGAUUCUGUGCGACUAGAGUGAGGUAAAUGGUAACGAAAUUCCUGGUGUAGCAUGUGAUAUGCGUAAAGAUCAUGAGAACAUCCAUAGCGAAGCAGCUACCGGGACCUUCAGUGCUACUGCUGACACUGAGCGUGGAGAGCAAACAGGAUUAGAUACACUGGUACCCACGCACUAAACGAUGCAAACUGUGAUGUGCUGUGCGAUUUGGCACUUCCCUCUCUAAGCUGACGCGUUAACUCGCGCCUGGGGAGUACGGUCACUACGACUGAAACUGCAUAAGAAUUGACGCAGUCCACGCGCGAGCCGCUGGAGUAUGGUGGAUCAUUUCGAUUGCAAUCGCAAAACAACC
rnacentral:rRNA from 1 species